GAUUAGGAGAUCCAUGCAAGACCAUUAGAUCUCAAAAACAACCCCAAAUAAAGUUGAAACGUAGUGUGAGCCUUAGAGAACAAUUGAUUGCGCAAGGAGCCAUGGGGUGCCAAAGAUUCAGAAAACAGAGGGGGCAACGCAAACCUCUUUAGGUUUCUUGACUAUUAAGAGUCGGCCACUGUUAAGGUGGGGAAAGACUCAAGAGUUAUCGUCAAUCAAAUUAAACCAUAUUCUCCCCAAAUCUAACACCAAAAUCCAUAAAUCAAAGAAAACCCAGUACCAUCACAGCAAAACCUAAACUUUCGCUCACCAAAACAACCCAUGAUUUAAAGUUGGCUGGAGAGGCGAUGCUAGGAAGACACAACCAAGCAGAUCAACACAUACGCAUCCCUUUCAAUAAAGCUUAAAUCUGCAACUUAACAACAACAAAACAAUAUUGAAAACCCACCCGGUGGGGGGCAGGGAGACCCACUAUCUGGCAGGAGGAUGAGGAGACAUUCUCCACCCAGAUGGGGCUGAGGAGGCCGCUAACUUGGAAGUGACAAAGAG
rnacentral:misc_RNA from 1 species